rnacentral:rRNA from 1 species
GACGUAGGGCGCGAGCGUUGUCCGGAUUUAUUGGGCGUAAAGAGCUCGUAGGCGGCUUGUCGCGUCGACUGUGAAAACCCGCGGCUCAACCGCGGGCCUGCAGCCGAUACGGGCAGGCUAGAGUCGGUAGGGGAGACUGGAAUUCCUGGUGUAGCGGUGAAAUGCGUAGAGAUCAGGAAGAACACCGGUGGCGAAAGCGCUCUGCUGGACCUAACUGACAUGAGGACGAAAGGCUAAGGGGAGCGAAGUGGGAUUGAAUGGAUUACCCGUUAGUAAGCUUCCAGACCCAAGUCCUA